GUGAGGAAUAUUGCGCAAUGGAGGCAACUCUGACGCAGCCAUGCCGCGUGCAGGAUGAAGGCCUUCGGGUUGUAAACUGCUUUUGUACGGAACGAAAAGCCUCUGGUUAAUACCCGGGGGUCAUGACGGUACCGUAAGAAUAAGCACCGGCUAACUACGUGCCAGCAGCCGCGGUAAUACGUAGGGUGCGAGCGUUAAUCGGAAUUACUGGGCGUAAAGCGUGCGCAGGCGGUGAUGUAAGACAGUUGUGAAAUCCCCGGGCUCAACCUGGGAACUGCAUCUGUGACUGCAUUGCUGGAGUGCGGCAGAGGGGGAUGGAAUUCCGCGUGUAGCAGUGAAAUGCGUAGAUAUGCGGAGGAACACCGAUGGCGAAGGCAAUCCCCUGGGCCUGCACUGACGCUCAUGCACGAAAGCGUGGGGAGCAAACAGGAUUAGAAACCCCUGUAGUCC
rnacentral:rRNA from 1 species